rnacentral:lncRNA from 1 species
UUCUAUGAGAGAUAAACCCAUUACCCAGGCUUGAGUGUACACACAGGUUUUAGAGUGGAUAAUCAUGAGGCUUGCGUGGCGUGUUGCUAAGUUAAGUCGUUCGUGAAGAACCACACCCAAACGAGGUUUCUUUUGGAUAUAUUAUGUCUUACGGGUGUUCCGUAACGGCAGGAUGUUCCUCUAGAAAUCGUCGACUCUGGUGACCAUUUCCUGAGAACUCAGUCGAGGCCUCUCCUCCGAGACGUGA